UUAAUGUAUUUAUUGGUUGGGAAAGAUCUUUCCCAGAGGAAAAAGAUCGGCAGGAUGGAAAGAGCACGAGAUACGGCUGGCAAGCAAAGACUAAGGCAAGACUUAAGAAUUUCAGAAGACAAGCCGAAACAAAUACGUUCCAGACAAGAAAAUAUCUUGACGUUUUAAUGAGACAAUGAAGCGCUGCUGCUGGAAUUCCCAAAAAACAACAGUGUAUGUAAACGACCCACUCGUCUAAGACACAUUCCUUUCCUUUAAUUGUUCGCACACAGGUAGGGUGCCAGCGAUGUCUCCGCCUCCUAGCCUUGUCUAUUGGAUUGCUGCUCCUACCCUCGCCUGGAAGGAGCCACGCGGCAUAGGUCGAUGCGUGUGACGUAGCAGAUGAGGACUGGCUAUUGUAAGUGUCCCCCAAAGAGACCCUUCCAAGUCCCGAUGGAAGCUCCGCCCACGACGUUAGUCCUGACUAAAAACUGUUCAUGUGAACGCUCGCUAGUGCAGAAGAUUCCAUCUUGGUUUUCUUCUUAUAUGCCAUCCUGUUGUAUGCAGCUUCUGGGUGGUUUUCCUCUAGGAGGGCCCCUAGCUUGGGCACCUUUAAAGCAUUUGGGGACUGGAAGCUGUGUGGAGACUGAUGCUGACCUCUCUUGCCUAAGUCAGAGCAGAAAUGCCACAUACCCCUCGCCAGCGCUUGCAGCCUCGUGCUCCAGUGUGGUCAGAAACAGAAACCCGGGAUUUUCUUGCCCUCUGGGGUGAAUUGCUGAUUUUACGGUGGAUUGAAAACCGGCCAUCAAACAGUGAUAUCUAUGAGGACCUGUCGGCCCAAAUGGUUGCCAGGGGUCACGACCGCAAUGCCUCACAGUGUAGGAACAGGGCUCGGGAUUUGAAGCGAAGUUACCGAAAGGCCAAAGAUGCGCAGGUCUGCGCCGGAGCGGAGCCGGUGUCCUGCCGUUACUUUCAAGAGUUGGAUCAGAUGUUUGGUGGCAAAAUAGACAAUGUCGCAAAUCGAAGCACGGCUAACAUGGACGGGUCCUUUCGGGUCCUUGUGAAAACCGAGGAUGUUGAAGACAUGGAGGCGCAAGGCUCUGAAGAAGAUGGCAACCAAAUGACUCCCCCGAACACUCUUUCGAGCAUGGAUGCCGACACUGAUACAGAAGUGGAUCCAGCACUGGGGAUUUCACAAGAGUUGGUGGCUGCAGACCCAGAUGUGAUUGAAACCACCGUAGGGGUGGAAUGUUCCAAAGAUAAAAUGAUGCCAUUACAUGGACCAUCAGUGGCAGGUCCCAGUAAAGAUGGACAUCAUCCUGUUGCUGGCCAAGUCUCGCAGAAGAAUCUCGUAGGGCGUCCUCUAACAACAGCAGAGAGGAUGGCGUCCAUGCGGGAAAGGAAGAGACGGUCCCACGAAGAAAUGAUGCACGAAAUCAUGGCUGACUACCGAAGGACCUGGGAAACCAUGGAGGCGCUUCACGAGAGGGGAGAAAUCAGUGCCGGGGAGUUCCGUGAGGCCAUGCUGAGGGAAAUGCUUCUGGACAGGGAGGCCCGGACACGGGAGGCCCAGCUUGAUCGUGAAUCUCGAGCGAGGGAAGCCCAGCUAGAUCGAGAGGCCAGGGCCAGGGACAACCAGUUGGAGCGGGAGAUUAGGAUUAAAGAGCUCAGUAUGAUUGAGGCGGAGCUCCAACACACCAGGGAUCUCCUCCAGCCCAUGGUGGAAGCCGUGGUAUCAGUGGUGGAGGUCUUGCGCACAGCGGGUAAUGUAGUAGAGACGCCUCAGGACCCACCGCAGGGUGAAGGGGGUAACUUAUCAGAACUGGAAAAAAGCAAAUGA
rnacentral:lncRNA from 1 species